rnacentral:misc_RNA from 1 species
GCGCACAGAAAAAGCUCCGUGAGUGUGAACUUGUGAUCCUGAAUGAUCCUUUUCUUGGUAAACGACUUGAAGAUAAUUUUACGGUACCUUUGAGGGAUGAGUUUCUUGAAAACGCGAGGCUCUUCAUCUUUGAGACUUAUUGCCGCAUACAUCGCUGCAUUGAUAUCGGCAUGCUUGCUGAGAAGCUGAGCAUGAGCUACGACGAGGCAGAGAGGUGGAUCAUGAAUCUUGUUCGAAAUUCAAAGCUUGAAGCCAAGAUUGAUUCUGUGUCUGGAACUGUUAU